rnacentral:lncRNA from 1 species
AUCCUCUGUAUCAUUCAUUCAUUCGUUCAACCAUGGAACUACAAUGGUGUUAAAUUAGAGCCCCUGACCUUGUGGUUAGGGAAAAACCAAUACAUAGGAGAGUAAAUAAAAUACUUAAAAGUUAUAAUACUUCUGAUGAAGGAAUUAAGCAUAGGGUAGAAUGGUAAACCAUAGGUAUGAGUGCAGAGGGUGAAUUUUAGGAGAAUGAUUGGAGAGUGUCUGAGGCAGUCAUAGUCAAGUGGAGACCUAAAAAGAUCAAGAGGGCUUGGCUAUGUACAGAAUUGGGAAGAGUGUUCCAAGCAGAAGAAUCAAGUGGCUAAGUGGUCCUGCAGCAGAACAGAGUAGAAAGCACUAGGCUCAAACCCAGGGAGGAGACACAGAACCGGGCUGGUUGACAGAGGGCUGGCGAGGCCACAUUAAGGAGUCUGGAUUUUAUUCUAAGUACAAUGCCAACCCGCUGGAGGCUUGUAAACCAGGUAAUUUCUAAAUGAUGAGAAGAUCACUUUACUGCUUUGAGGAGAAUGGAUUGAAAGGG